UGUAGAAUCACUAACUGUUGUAUUAUCUCCAGCAACUGCAAAAACAGUGAAGGAAUAGGAUGUUGCAGAGUUCAGGUUGGUCACAUUAAUGCAAGUGUGAUUGGUUAGAAGUUGUUGGGUUGUCCACUGUUUGAAAAAUUAACUCCAUAGGAAACAUUUCCUCCAAGUGGGUGCGACCCAGCAGAGAAAUAUAGAAGUUGUUGUCACAUUGGUAACAGUAGGUGAAGUAACUGGGCCAGGCUCUGUAAAU